AUUGAACGCUGGCGGCAGGCUUCACACAUGCAAGUCGAACGAGCGGCGGACGGGUGAGUAAUGUCUGGGAAAAUGCCUGAUGGAGGGGGAUAACUACUGGAAACGGUAGCUAAUACCGCAUACCAUCGGAUUUGCCCAGAUGGGAUUAGCUAGUAGGUGGGGUAAAGGCUCACCUAGGCGACGAUCCCUAGCUGGUCUUAGAGGAUGACCAGCCACACGGGAACUGAUACACGGUCCAGACUCCUACGGGAGGCAGCAGUGGGGAAUAUUGCACAAUGGGCGCAAGCCUGAUGCAGCCAUGCCGCUUGUAUGAAGAAGGCCUUCGGGUUGUAAAGCACUUUCAGCGAGGAGGCGUUACUCGCAGAAGAAGCACCGGCUAACUCCGUGCCAGCAGCCGCGGUAAUAC
rnacentral:rRNA from 1 species